CUUCCCCGGGCUGGCUGCGGGAGCCCGGGGGACGAGUCUGGAGCUGGCCCUUCCACCGGCCUUUUCUUUUUGUGUUUGAGGAGGGGCCAGGUUAGAGUUGGGGGAGAGCCUGGGAGGAGCGGACCCCUCCCUGCGACGCUCCCUGUGGGGUUGGGUCACCUGUCUGACUCGUUCCUCCUCUCCACGCUCUCUCGCCCUCCUGCCUUUUGCACCGCCCGGGGGAACAGGGCUGGACGCGCGGGCAAUUUGAUUGUGUUUAUUUUUCUGGAGCCUGUGCGUGUUUUAUGUUUUAAUAACUUUGUCAACUCGGUGAACUUUCUCGAGAGAGCACCGGGCAGCUUCUCUCGCCUCUCUCCUUCCCCCUUGUCUCUCACUGGCCUCUGGGUCGCUUCCAAAAGGUUGCUUCCUUCGAGUUUUCCCUGUUAAGCUUCACCUUGGCGUGGUCCAUACGGAAGGCAGAAUCAACCCCACUCACAGGUGAGGACCUUGAGCACAGAGAGGCAGGGCCCCUGGCCAAGGUCACACAGUUAAACACAGCCGCUGCAGACCUGAAACUGGAGGGGAGGCUUCCCCUCUGCUCCUCCCCUUCUCUGCUCUCCGGGAUCGCUGGGGAGCUAAAUUAUGAAAUAUAAAACAACAGCAAAAUGUAGGGAAUUGGGAAUGCAGGAGGAAAAAAAAAAGUGAGAAAUGAACUCAAUGUUAACUUUUUGUUUGGGCACUGCCUGGCAAGUGGCCCCUCAGCCAGGAGCAGGGGUGACUGGUGGAGGAGCGCCUGCUGGCAAGACUGGUUUCUACCGAGCCCAAGGCUCCCUACCACCCUACCCUUGUUCGAAGCCUGGCACCACAGGGAAGCAUGUCUGUACUCAGUCUGCUGUUGCCCAAUAGGCCCUGACUCGUCUUCCUUCUUGCCUUUCCUCCGGGAGAGGACCUGGCUGUGCCGGCCUCUUUCCCUAACAGAGUAGAAUCUAAGAGGUGUUUCUUUUCUGAUGACUUCAAGGAGAUGUGUUUGAACUUCCAUACCCAGUGUGACCCAGCUGGCGAGAGCCCUUCCAGCCCCACCCAUCCCCAGAGACUCUCUGGAUCCCAGGAAGAUAGUACUGUCUCCUUCCUUAAAUCCCCCAGCUUAAGAAGCCUAGCCUAAACCCUGCUCCUAAUCUUUCGCUGUAAAGUUUAUCAGCUAAAACUUUCCCUUAAAACCUAUGGAAAAUAAAAAUCGGGAUUGGAGCAGAGCAGAUGGUUGUGUUUGCAGAAGCUGAUCUCAUGGCUGUUUUCCCUGGUAUUGCGCUGUAACGCUUUCGGCAGCCCUGAAUUCUAAAGAAUGUCUGCAAGGCGCCUUUCUUCCUGAACAAGAACCUAAAUCCCUCCUCUUGCAACCUCUGCUCCCUCCCAGGCCUUGCGGGGCAGUGAGACACCUACCCACGCAACGCAGUUUCUCCUGCUUUCAGGAUUCUCUGGGGCCGAGAGCCACACAGACAGGCUUUCUCCUUCCACAAGCAUUUCCUUGGAAGGUGCUCCGUCUCUGUGGUGGGCACCGCGAGUCCCAUCCCCGUGCUUCCCGUCAAGUGGGAGAAACCCUGCUACCCAAACCCCAUCACCAACCCAAACUUAGUUCUCUGUGUUACGAGGCAGACAUUCAUCAUGCCACUGUCACAGAGUAUGGAGGGUCUUAAAGUCAUUUAGAGCAAUCCGGGUAGGCUUCAUGGAGGAAGUGAUGUUUGUGCUGAGGUUUCAUGCAUGGACAUAGCGCAGAGGCUGAGGGUGAGGGUGGGUGGGAAGAAGAACCAGCACGGGCAUAUGUUCUUUGCUGGGUCUGAUACCCACUUAUCCGCUGAGAAUGUUUAGCAGAGCCUCUUGUAGCCCAGUCCGCUCUCUGUGGAUGGGAAUUCCUUUUUAUUGAGACUGGUAAAAUGACCUUCUCCAAGAACACUGGUCUUUCUCUAAGGAAUUGAGACCACAUGUUUAGGCCUGGGCUGGCUAGGUGGCUGUACAGGUCGCCAAAGAGAGAAAACCAACACAUUUUUCACCGCUUCCAUCAUCAGGGACUAGCAACUUGAGACCUACCGACUUCUGCCUUGGCCCAGUGUAGUUUCUCUUAUUAAGAGUGUUAACCUUUCAGCGCCCCUGCACGAAAAGAAUUCAGCUUCAGAUGCCUCUGCGAUUUAUGAAGGGCCGGUAGGAGCCUGGUAUUUCCUAAGUAUGACCCCCCGGGGACCCUUCCAGCCACCCUGGGGGACAGAACUUUUCAGCCCCUUUUUGCAGAUGAGAAAAACAAGGCCCAGCAAGCGCUUGGGGCCUGACUCCCACUGUGUGACCGGGAUGCAGAAGAGGGCAAAGUCCCCUUUGACAGCUCAUAGAAUGAGCAUUUUAUGUCACAGAUUCCCAAAGGGUCGAGUUUGGACAGUACUCCGGAGCAACGUUUUUGCUUUUGCUUUUUUUUUUCUUCAACUCCUACCCAGUGGUUGAUCUAUCAACAUCCUGCAAUUUUGGAAAUUUCACUUUAUGAUUCACAAGUACCUGGAAUCUGCAGAGGAUUUUUGCUGUUAGGAGGAAAGGUAAUUGCUUCUCCACUUGAUGCCAUUUCUACUUACAAACGGUUUCAGGGGACCGCUCUGCUUUCGGACACUGAGGAAAACGCCGUGCCGUCUUGGUCUCAACCGCCGUCUCUCCUCCAAUAGGGAAGUCACUGUCUUCUGAUGAAGCCACGUUGACUUGCAGGUCUUGGAUGAUUCAAAAAAAAAGAUCUUUCCAUCUCUGGACUUCCAGCUAGGCCUAAACAGAAAACAUGACCUUUUCAGAAAAGACGUUUAUUCAAGGUUUAAACCCAGUGGGUGGGCAUCAACAGAAUCAGGUGUGCUAACAGCACGCCCUGCGUCUGGAGAGGAUACCAGCCCUGCAAAUAAAGGAAGAACCCAGAAGACCAGAUCCGAAUCUCGAAGAGCCCUCGAGGAGCCAUGCUCCCAUCACUCCCUGCCGUCUCCGCUGCCUUCUUAGGAGUUUGAAUUAUGAGGUUAAGUACUUGAAUCAACCAUACUUUUCAGUGAUCUUCCAGUGGAAACCCUUCUGGACCAAAUACCACCAAAGGGAGCCUCUGUGCCUGGGUUGGUGGUGAAGGGUCAUGGAGUUGCCGUUUUUAGAGUCAGCUUCCCAAGUCCGCGGGGCACCCCAUGCUUUGCUUCUUGUUGCCUUUCCAGUUGGGUGCUUCCCUGAAGGAUACCUAGUAGCUUGCACCUGACCUGAAUACCAGUCACAGCAGCCUCCUCAGCUAGAGCCAUUCUUAAUGUAUCCAUCCGUCCAACACAUAUUUCCUGAGCUCCUACUGUGUGCGGUGCUGCAGCGAUGCGGUCAACAACAGUCCUGUCCCUGCUUUCAGGACAUUCACAGUGCAGUAGAGGGGAAAAGACAGUGUUUAAAGGACCAGGGAUGAAAUUCAAAUUGAUGCAGAUUGAAUUCCCCUCGGAAAACUUCCCUCUGGCUCCAGAGAAUGGACUAGGGGCUGGGGGAGGGGCGCCACUCUCUGCCACCUGCUACCAUUCUGUGUGACACCGCUAGCACUCAGUCACCCUCUUUUUUAAUUUCCUGCAAGCACCGCACACACGUGCCCUGAAAGGCCUGCGUUUGUUUUCUUUUCCCCCCGGUGGCCAGUCUGCCUUUACAACACACAAUGGAAGCUUCAUGUAGGGAGGCACUUCCUCCAGUUUGCAGAAUUCCUGGAACCAAGAGGGAGCCCUGUCUUCUUUGUUGAGCCCAUGAGGGACUUGUCCCUUAAACUCCAGUAAGGCAGGAAUGCUAGAAGCACCUGGGAGAAGGCACGUGGGAAUUCCGAGAGGCAGUGGGAGGCCCCUGUACCUGGUGGGAAAGCCCUGCUGGCCUGAGCUGUUGUCACUCAAGGGGCUCCGGUCUGCUCCCUAGGAAUCCCUGGGGGAUUUGGAAAGAAGACCUUUCUUUGUUGUCGUAAUUUAAUUGCUGGUUAGCACUUCCAUCCAAGUUCAGCGAUAACUUCUGGAAUUUGCACCUGAAGAACUUUUUUCUUCUUUCAUGCUCCACUCCUACCCCCCCCCCCCCCCUGCUCUCUUCCCAGAAAUGGGUGCCUGGCCGAAAACCCAUGUACUUAGCAGUUGGCUGUGGCAGCACAUGAGUAAUCUCCCACCUUCAUCAAGGAAGGAAGAAAUGGAAAACUUGAUCCCCAGGUGGCUUCGCAGGAACUGGAAAAAAAAAAAAAAAAAAAAAAAAAAAAA
rnacentral:lncRNA from 9 species